rnacentral:lncRNA from 1 species
GGAGGAGAAAGGGAGGAAAGGGAGUAGAGAAGGCCACACACAAUCUUAAAUUCAAUAUUUCACUCCCGUUAAAGAUAAGCUGUUUAUAAGCUCCAGUGUAGGGCAUGUAAUUCUAUGUAAAAACUCUGUGGUUCCUCUUCCCACAUGUAAAUCAUGAUCACUCUACAUUCUGCUCUCUGGGAGCCCUCAAGGCAAAGAGACAACAAGACUCGAGACCACAGAAAGGACUUAUCACAAGUCUUUGUGGUAGCUGAGGAGUGCCCCCUACAGACUGAUAUGCACAAUGCAAGCAGAUGAAGAGGAAAGAACUGAGCAGCAGUAUUUCAGGAUUCUCAAUAAGGCAUCAAUGAAAAAAGGCACCAAAAUGUAUAUCAGAAGAAAUUGUCAUUCAUCAUGACACUUUACAUGUACUGCAUUGUUUUAAUAGAAAAAUCUGAAGUUUCAUUAUGUUAAUGUUGAGCAAUGAAAAUAAAACAUCAUAAAAAA